GAGAGAACACUAGGAAGAAAACAGCUCAAGUAGUAAGUAGCACCGACUGGGAAACAUUGACCACCGAGUGCACUGUUCCUUCUGAUUCUAGAGUCUUAUAAGCUGUUAAGUCCAAGCGGUGGCUGAAGGAAAAAUCAAGAGAAAUCCACAGCCAAUAAUUUGCUAAGUCAAGCGGUGGAAGUGAGGAAACAAAUAGAAAGUGGCUUGCUAAGUUGGGCGGUGGCCGAGUGGAGAAGCGAGGCUUCAAUUCUUUUCUUACCAACCAAACACCAAGAGCAAAACUGAGAGACUAAGCCAUUUCUUUUCAUCUCAAGGCACAACCGAGAGAAUGGAAAAUAUUUCUGGUUCUUCCUUGUUCCAGUUUUCAACCGAGAGAGUGAGGAAGAGAGUUAGACAUUUGCUAGCUUUAUUUCUCCAGCUUGUAACCUCAAAACCGUGAGCCAAAGUGAGUGAGAGGGAGAGAAAUUCUGGUGGUAUACUUCACUUAACGGGCUCAAUCGAAUGAGAGUGAAGUAGAUUGAAGAAAGAGUGAGAGUUGGUGCAAUUUUGAGGAACCGAAGCUCAACUUGGAGCCAUCUGCACUUGCUGAAUUCUAGAGGAAAUGAGUUCUUGUCCUUAGUUUAGCUACCCGAGAGACAUUAGGAGGAAAAGGAGAGAAGGACCAAAAGAAAGAAACAACAACAACAACUAGGAACUCAUUUCUGGCCUCCUUCAACCGUGAGAACCAGCCACAAAGAAAGCAGGAAUGCAGUCUAUCGAGCUAAGAAUGGGAGAGAGAAACCAGAAUUUUAUUUUCCUAACUUAGAACCAUAAGAACCAGAGGAGACAGCGGUGUGCAAGAAAGCAAUUAAGAGAUCGAAGUGUAACUUUUGAUUAGGGAGUUGGUGGUCAGGGAAUGAACGAGGGAUCUUAGGGAGUUAACGUGAACACUUUUGUGAUUGUAAAUCCUUUAAUAUCAUAUUAUGGUUGAGGCUAUUAUAUUGAACUUGGUAUUGUAAAAGAUUUGAGCGUUUGGUUUUGGUUUAUCGAAAUGUUAUCUCUGACAUUAAUGUAAGUGAUUGAACCCUGGCGAAAGCCAGGCAGGUGGUCCGCUAAUUUCUAGGGUAUGCCCUAGGAGAAGGUGGGGCCGUCACAAAAUGAUUAUUCGUAAAGAAACUUAUUUAAAAGUUGAAAUUACCC